rnacentral:rRNA from 2 species
UUAAGCGACUAAGCGUACACGGUGGAUGCCCUGGCAGUCAGAGGCGAUGAAGGACGUGCUAAUCUGCGAUAAGCGUCGGUGAGGUGAUAUGAACCGUUAUAACCGGCGAUUUCCGAAUGGGGAAACCCAGUGUGUUUCGACACACUAUCAUUAACUGAAUCCAUAGGUUAAUGAGGCGAACCGGGGGAACUGAAACAUCUAAGUACCCCGAGGAAAAGAAAUCAACCGAGAUUCCCCCAGUAGCGGCGAGUGAACGGGGAGGAGCCCAGAGCCUGAAUCAGUGUGUGUGUUAGUGGAAGCGUCUGGAAAGGCGCGCGAUACAGGGUGACAGCCCCGUACACAAAAAUGCACAUAUUGUGAGCUCGAUGAGUAGGGCGGGACACGUGGUAUCCUGUCUGAAUAUGGGGGGACCAUCCUCCAAGGCUAAAUACUCCUGACUGACCGAUAGUGAACCAGUACCGUGAGGGAAAGGCGAAAAGAACCCCGGCGAGGGGAGUGAAAAAGAACCUGAAACCGUGUACGUACAAGCAGUGGGAGCCUCUUAAUGGGGUGACUGCGUACCUUUUGUAUAAUGGGUCAGCGACUUAUAUUCUGUAGCAAGGUUAACCGAAUAGGGGAGCCGAAGGGAAACCGAGUCUUAACUGGGCGUUAAGUUGCAGGGUAUAGACCCGAAACCCGGUGAUCUAGCCAUGGGCAGGUUGAAGGUUGGGUAACACUAACUGGAGGACCGAACCGACUAAUGUUGAAAAAUUAGCGGAUGACUUGUGGCUGGGGGUGAAAGGCCAAUCAAACCGGGAGAUAGCUGGUUCUCCCCGAAAGCUAUUUAGGUAGCGCCUCGUGAAUUCAUCUCCGGGGGUAGAGCACUGUUUCGGCAAGGGGGUCAUCCCGACUUACCAACCCGAUGCAAACUGCGAAUACCGGAGAAUGUUAUCACGGGAGACACACGGCGGGUGCUAACGUCCGUCGUGAAGAGGGAAACAACCCAGACCGCCAGCUAAGGUCCCAAAGUCAUGGUUAAGUGGGAAACGAUGUGGGAAGGCCCAGACAGCCAGGAUGUUGGCUUAGAAGCAGCCAUCAUUUAAAGAAAGCGUAAUAGCUCACUGGUCGAGUCGGCCUGCGCGGAAGAUGUAACGGGGCUAAACCAUGCACCGAAGCUGCGGCAGCGACACUAUGUGUUGUUGGGUAGGGGAGCGUUCUGUAAGCCUGUGAAGGUGGCCUGUGAGGGUUGCUGGAGGUAUCAGAAGUGCGAAUGCUGACAUAAGUAACGAUAAAGCGGGUGAAAAGCCCGCUCGCCGGAAGACCAAGGGUUCCUGUCCAACGUUAAUCGGGGCAGGGUGAGUCGACCCCUAAGGCGAGGCCGAAAGGCGUAGUCGAUGGGAAACAGGUUAAUAUUCCUGUACUUGGUGUUACUGCGAAGGGGGGACGGAGAAGGCUAUGUUGGCCGGGCGACGGUUGUCCCGGUUUAAGCGUGUAGGCUGGUUUUCCAGGCAAAUCCGGAAAAUCAAGGCUGAGGCGUGAUGACGAGGCACUACGGUGCUGAAGCGACAAAUGCCCUGCUUCCAGGAAAAGCCUCUAAGCAUCAGGUAACAUCAAAUCGUACCCCAAACCGACACAGGUGGUCAGGUAGAGAAUACCAAGGCGCUUGAGAGAACUCGGGUGAAGGAACUAGGCAAAAUGGUGCCGUAACUUCGGGAGAAGGCACGCUGAUAUGUAGGUGAAGCGACUUGCUCGUGGAGCUGAAAUCAGUCGAAGAUACCAGCUGGCUGCAACUGUUUAUUAAAAACACAGCACUGUGCAAACACGAAAGUGGACGUAUACGGUGUGACGCCUGCCCGGUGCCGGAAGGUUAAUUGAUGGGGUUAGCGGUAACGCGAAGCUCUUGAUCGAAGCCCCGGUAAACGGCGGCCGUAACUAUAACGGUCCUAAGGUAGCGAAAUUCCUUGUCGGGUAAGUUCCGACCUGCACGAAUGGCGUAAUGAUGGCCAGGCUGUCUCCACCCGAGACUCAGUGAAAUUGAACUCGCUGUGAAGAUGCAGUGUACCCGCGGCAAGACGGAAAGACCCCGUGAACCUUUACUAUAGCUUGACACUGAACAUUGAGCCUUGAUGUGUAGGAUAGGUGGGAGGCUUUGAAGUGUGGACGCCAGUCUGCAUGGAGCCGACCUUGAAAUACCACCCUUUAAUGUUUGAUGUUCUAACGUGGGCCCCUUACCGGGGUUGCGGACAGUGUCUGGUGGGUAGUUUGACUGGGGCGGUCUCCUCCUAAAGAGUAACGGAGGAGCACGAAGGUUGGCUAAUCCUGGUCGGACAUCAGGAGGUUAGUGCAAUGGCAUAAGCCAGCUUGACUGCGAGCGUGACGGCGCGAGCAGGUGCGAAAGCAGGUCAUAGUGAUCCGGUGGUUCUGAAUGGAAGGGCCAUCGCUCAACGGAUAAAAGGUACUCCGGGGAUAACAGGCUGAUACCGCCCAAGAGUUCAUAUCGACGGCGGUGUUUGGCACCUCGAUGUCGGCUCAUCACAUCCUGGGGCUGAAGUAGGUCCCAAGGGUAUGGCUGUUCGCCAUUUAAAGUGGUACGCGAGCUGGGUUUAGAACGUCGUGAGACAGUUCGGUCCCUAUCUGCCGUGGGCGCUGGAGAACUGAGGGGGGCUGCUCCUAGUACGAGAGGACCGGAGUGGACGCAUCACUGGUGUUCGGGUUGUCAUGCCAAUGGCACUGCCCGGUAGCUAAAUGCGGAAGAGAUAAGUGCUGAAAGCAUCUAAGCACGAAACUUGCCCCGAGAUGAGUUCUCCCUGACUCCUUGAGAGUCCUGAAGGAACGUUGAAGACGACGACGUUGAUAGGCCGGGUGUGUAAGCGCAGCGAUGCGUUGAGCUAACCGGUACUAAUGAACCGUGAGGCUUAACCUU